AUACGUAGGUGGCAAGCGUUGUCCGGAUUUAUUGGGCGUAAAGCGCGCGUAGGUGGUUCAGCAAGUUGGAUGUGAAAUCCCCGGGCUCAACCUGGGAACUGCAUCCAAAACUACUGAGCUAGAGUACGGUAGAGGGUGGCGGAAUUUCCUGUGUAGCGGUGAAAUGCGUAGAUAUAGGAAGGAACACCAGUGGCGAAGGCGACCACCUGGACUGAUACUGACACUGAGGUGCGAAAGCGUGGGGAGCAAACAGGAUUAGAGACCCUGGUAGUCCACGCCGUAAACGAUGUCGACUAGCCGUUGGGAUCCUUGAGAUCUUAGUGGCGCAGCUAACGCGAUAAGUCGACCGCCUGGGGAGUACGGCCGCAAGGUUAAA
rnacentral:rRNA from 1 species